AAUAAAAUAAGCCACAUAAAUGAAAAAAAAAUUUAAGUCUCUUUUUUUUUUUUUUAAGGAGAAGAGAAAAUUAGACUAGGUUUGAAAAUCUCAGCUGCGGAAAUCUGGCCCAGACCUUGCCUCUUGGUAGGACUAUAUAUAUAGUGCUUCCAGCAGUAGACUGAAUAGAAGCAGACAUCCACUGCCUUCGGCAAAACAGGGGGAGCUGGAGGGAGGGAUCUAUAGCAGCGACUGCAGCAAUGAAGACAGGUCAGUUUACCUGCUAGAAACAGAAAUGCUCUCAGAAGGUUCAGGAUAUGACUGGAAAACUUGAUUGCAUCUACCUUAGUUUGUACAAGUGGUGAGUCUUGGAAUAUACAUUCCCUGAUUAGUUUAGAUCAAAAUGGAGCUGACACUCAGGAUCUCCUGUAAUACUAACCCACAUGCUUUCCACGGUGCACAUCUAUUUGUCCACAGCCCACACUCUGUUUUCCUGCUAUAAUGUAUUCUUUGAGCAUGGUUUUGGUGGGUGAUGGGAAAUAUUCUGAGCCAAGGCAAGAUGCUUUUCUCGAAAGAAGGUGGUCGUAUUGCUAAGGAAAAAUAUUCAUGCACGUGAUCACCAAUCUGGAGAUUUUUCCCCCAAGUCCCAGAAGACCAGGUAGCUACAAGUAUGAAGAGAGGACAUAUUACCAACCCAGAGUUUGAACAUUUAAUUAAGCUCAGUAAGAUUUAGCAUUUCUAUGAAAGGAACUACAGUAGAACUUCAACCCUGCUUUUGUUUAUACCAAAUAAAGGACUCAUCUUCUUAACGUAUUGGAUUUCAUUAUUUGCAUAACUUUUUACUGACCCAGUUUGCCAAAAAACUUGCUGUUUGGUCAGCCUAUCAGAAAUCAGUAAAACGUGUUCUCUGAUCGCAUGUAUCAAAGACUUUGAGUGGCAGUCCUACACCAGUAUGGCUUUUGACCUGGUUAUGUUGUAUUCCUGCCUCUUGAUAAGAAUAUAUUCAUCAGACAUAUUUGAUCUGUGUGCCAAUGAAGGGUAGAAAUUCGUUAAGGACAGCAUUAAGAGACAAUGGAAAGACAAAGUGCCAAGCACACUAUGUUUUCCAAAGCUUUACAUUGGAAAGCUUAAAUAUUAAUAGAUAGUAAAUAUAUAUUAAAUAGAUUUUAUGAUUAAAAACAAAAUGAUUUUUUGUUUUUUUCAUCUAACCAUUUUGACAAAUUCAGAUACUUUUCACUUAAUAUUUGAAUAUAUAAACCUAAUUUCUUCCAUGUUUUCUCCCCUCUGAAUCUUCUCUCCCUCUUUAGCUCACCAUUUGAAAGAUAUGUCAGUCCUAUUUUUAAAUAAGCAAUUACAUUAGUGAUAUGUGUGCAAUCAUCUUUAAGAUUAAAAGCCAAUUAACACUGGCUUGUCAGUCUCUCCGUAAAGCUGUUUUCCAUCUCAAAGGUUGUGAUCCAAGGUAAGGUCCAGAAACAACUGAGAUUGUUUUACAUCUAUGUAUUAGGUUGGUACAAAAGUAAUUGUGGUUUUUGCCCCUACUUUUAAUGGUAAAAACUGCAAUUACUUUUGCAGCAACCUAAUACAAUUCUAAGUAAUGGAGACAUAUCUUUUAUAGGCCUCAAUAAGCAACAGAUCAGCAUAAUGUAAAUAUCUGUAUUUCAUAGUGAGUUUGAAUAUUCCUUGUCAAAAAUGCACUUGUACUUUUAAGUUAUUAUGUGUGUUUAGGUUAUUGUAUUGUCAGAAGGCUGGAGUUAUCAUAGCAGAGUUUUUAUGACAAAAUAUUAUAAGCCUUGUAAAUAGUUAAAAAGAUUGUCCACUAAUGUCUAUUUGUCUUGCAAAAUUUGCAGCAGUUCUACUAGUAAUUUUCAUCACUUGCUCUUUCCACCUCUAAUCAUUCUCAGUCUCCUCCAUUAGAUCUUGCUGACUCAUCACAUAUAAACAGUUUCCUCGGCAGAAAGGGUCCGAUAAAAAUUGAAGACCAAGAGGUAGAGGCUGUUGGAGCCAUCAUGAAUUCCAGUCCUUUUGUUGUUAUUGACUUUUCUUUUUUUUUUUUUUUUUUAAAGGCACACCCUUGACUUUUUUUUAAUUGUUAAAAUGAACCAGUUUUUAAUUUCAGGCAGCAAAACCAGUUACUGCAAAAAGUCAAUAAUCAAAAAUCAAUGUAUAACUGGUUUUCAUCACCUGUAGAAUGUUAGGUUUAUCCCCCUCCAGUGCUUAGUGAUUCUAUUCUGUAGACCUAAAAAAUAUUGCCUCUUUUCUACUU